UUCUAUAAGAGACUGGAAGCAAGCAUGUGUUUCAAAACAGAGCUCUGUUAGCUCCACUAUGAUGAGUUUCCCCUUUUUUUUUUUCCUCUCUCUUUGUUAAAAUAUUGUUGAAUUUGUUGUAUUUUAAACCCUAUAGUGAUAUCAGGACCAUAUUACAACAAUGCUUUUUAACUGGGUUUGAAAUGCCUUGUUAUUUUCUACAGUCAUAAAAUGAUCUAAUCAGAUGUCAUUGGUGUCUUCAGCCAUAUGUGUAUUGUAUACUUGGGUUUGUAAUCAGAUGCAUUAGCCAACAGUACAAAAAUCUCAUGCAACUUAAGUAUUUGAGUAGAAUACUAAAACCAAAACAAAACAAACCCAGAAUAAUAUAAACAUUUAUUUAUAGUGUUUCAUCUGACUCUAUGGUAAACCAUAAUAUUAUACUUACUUGAACCUAAUCAACUAAACUGCAUGUUAAAAGCCCGGGGUCAGGUUAUUAAGGAAAGAUUUUGUAGAACAAAUUCCACAUAGUCACUGUAAAUUACAUCUGCAUGAAAAUCAGUGUCAGCUGUUGUAUAAUAUCAGAUCUUUAAAGUAUGCCUGCAGUCCUUUAGAGAUGCAUUUGGGCAAGAGCCACUCCUGUUGCUGAAAUCAAUGAAUCAUAGAGUUGGUUGGAAGGAGCACUUCGAGGAGCACUACCUCAAAUCUAGCACCAGCAACACAUGAAGUUAGCUUUGUGUAAUUAAACCUUGAAAAUCAAUAGAGAUUCUCUAAUCUCUUCUGAUAUCCUCUUCUGAUACUGCACAUUUUAUUAUAGGAAUGAAAUUUUUUAUCCUAAUCCUUGACUUGGACCUCCUAUGCCUCUUAAAUCCCUCUUGCAGACAGGGCUCAGAAGCAAAACCUGAAGCAGAAACCAAGUCUUGUGAUUUUCAGGGUACUGGGACUAAGCUGGUAUUGCAUGGCAGCUUUCUAUGAGAACACGAGUACUACUGGAAAAUGGUUGUGAGCUAAAGCUGAAGGGACAUGGUCAUGCAGGCCCAUAACAAUCACUUACUAGAUGAUUUCUAAUCAGUAAUUUCAUGAUAAAAGCUUGAGAGUCAUAUGAAGAGAGUAAGGUAUCUACUUUGCUGAUACCAAAACACUCCAUGAUGCACUGAUGGCUCACAAGGUUUGUAAAUCAAAAAAAUGUGAAUGUUUCUCCACAAUACUGUUUUUUGAAGGAGAGGCCAAAUCUUUUGUUAGGUUGAGGUUUUAAUCCCAUUCAGUCUUUGGGUGUUUGAGGAUAACUCUUUGAUAAAAUAUGGGAAGAAUGGUGAUAAUAAUGGUGAUAUGGGAAGAAUUAUGGUGAUAAUUCAUUUCUCCGUGUGAAAGUGUAUUGAUUAACACCUGUGAAUAUUUUCUUUUGAUUAUUUGGAAGCAUUAUAUUUCAUUCAGCUUGUUUCUGCAGUGUUCCUUUCCUUAGUCUCAAAACUUGCUCAUUUAAACCUGCUUUUAAAGAAAGCUGUUGUAACGGAUGGUUUGUCUUGGCUCACUCUCGUUUGCAAAUGGUAUUCAGUUCUUAUAUUAAUUUCUCAUGCUUGUCUUAUUUAGCUGUCUGUAGUUGGGUAUGGGAACACUGCUUUACAAAACCCCACAAAGCAGCAGAAAUAAUGAUUCAUUAACAGAAACUGACAAUUGUGUAUAUUUUAGAAAAAAUGACAGUGUGGAUCUCGUGCUUGAAGGGACAAGUUCAUGCAUGGUCCCUGUCCACUGACAGCAGAACAUCUGAGGGAAAAAGCAAGCAUUGUUGUUCAGUAAAAGGGGUGCUGCAGAAAGGAAGGGAGGGAUGGCCCUGCAGAUCUCACUGAGAAUGGGGAGCUUGACACAGGGUAGCAGGGAGGAAAGAAAGGGGAGGAGCACAAUGUUGAAAUCAUAUAGCAGUUUGUCUAAUUAAAACCAGAUGUGCAUAGUGAUCAAGAUAUUCUUAACUUUUGUCUUCCUUUUCCUUUUUUUUUUUUUGUUUCCAUAGUGUAAGCCAAGAGAAAUGGAGUAUCUUCAGAGUCUGACAUCCAAACUGCAUGUAUAAUAUAAUCAGUGGAUGAUGGGAUUCAUAUCUAAAAGGUCACUUUCAUUUUAUUUGAAUAUGCCAUGGUUUUGCUGCAGCAGCACAGACCCUUCUACCCUAAAGUAUUAUUUAACCUCUUAUCUUUCCAGGGCUUUAAUCUGCACAGUCUCACUCUUUUGAAAUGGGUCCAUGUCUGGAACCUGUUUCUGCUUUUAGGAAACUCUUCCAUGCAUUAACCUUUGCAUUAUGAGCACAGACCUCCUAGUUAAUAAAUGGAGCCAUGUGCUGUGGCA
rnacentral:lncRNA from 1 species